rnacentral:rRNA from 1 species
GACGAACGCUGGCGGCGUGCCUAAUACAUGCAAGUCGAACGAUUCUUUCCUCCCGUGUGCUUGCCCUCGAUUGGAAAGAGGAGUGGCGGAAGGGGGAGUAACACGUCGGUAACCUACCCAACAGAGGGGGAUAACAGGUGGAAACAGGUGAUAAUAUCGCAUACCAGUUUAUGCGGUAUGGCAUGAGAGUGAAAGGCGCUCUCGUGUGUGGAUGUUGGCUGGAUUCGCGGGUCGUUAGCUAGUUGGUGUGGUAACGGCUCACCAAGGCAACGAUUCAUAGCCGACCUGAGAGGGUGAUCGGCCACACUGGAACUGAGACACGGCCCAGACUCCUACGGGAGGCAGCAGUAGGGAAUCUUCGGCAAUGGACGAAAGUCUGACCGAGCAACGCCGCGUGAGUGAAGAAGGUUUUCGGAUCGUAAAACUCUGUUGUUAGGGAAGAACAAGGACGUUAGUAACUGAACGUCCCCUGACGGUAUCUAACCAGAAAGCCACGGCUAACUACGUG